rnacentral:rRNA from 1 species
CCUACGGGGGGCUGCAGUAAGGAAUAUUGGUCAAUGGGCGGGAGCCUGAACCAGCCAUGCCGCGUGCAGGAAGACGGCCUUAUGGGUUGUAAACUGCUUUUAUCGGGGAAUAAAACUUUCUACGCGUAGAGAGCUGAAGGUACCCGAAGAAUAAGCAUCGGCUAACUCCGUGCCAGCAGCCGCGGUAAUACGGAGGAUGCAAGCGUUAUCCGGAUUCAUUGGGUUGAAAGGGUACUGGGGAGGCUGGGUUGAAAUUCUAGUGCUUAACAUUAGACCUGCCAGUGAUACUGUCAGUCUAGAGUAUAGUUGGAGUGGGCGGAAUGUGUCAUGUAGCGGUGAAAUGCUUAGAUAUGACACAGAACACCGAUCGCGAAGGCAGCUCACUAAGCUAAAACUGACGCUCAUGCACGAAAGCGUGGGGAUCAAACAGGAUUAGAUACCCCAGUAGUC